CCUACGGGAGGCAGCAGUGGGGAAUAUUGGGCAAUGGGCGCAAGCCUGACCCAGCAACGCCGCGUGAAGGAAGAAGGCUUUCGGGUUGUAAACUUCUUUUCUCAGGGACGAAGAAAGUGACGGUACUUGCGGAAUAAGCCACGCCUAACUACGUGCCAGCAGCCGCGGGAUUACGUAGGUGGCAAGCGUUAUCCGGAUUUAUUGGGUGUAAAGGGCUUGUAGGCGGGAGCGCAAGUCAGAUGUGAAAACUCAGGGCUCAACCCUGAGCCUGCAUUUGAAACUGUGUUUCUUGAGUGCUGGAGAGGCAGUCGGAAUUCCGUGUGUAGCGGUGAAAUGCGUAGAUAUACGGAGGAACACCAGUGGCGAAGGCGGAUUGCUGGACAGUAACUGACGCUGAGGCGCGAAAGCGUGGGGAGCAAACAGGAUUAGAUACCCCUGUAGUC
rnacentral:rRNA from 1 species